GUGCUUGCUUCAGCAACACAUAUGCCAAAGUUGGAAUGAUACAGAGAAAAUUAGCAUGCCCCUGCACAAGAAUGACAUGCAAAUUUGUAAAGCAUUCCAUAUUUAA